UGUGGUGACUGAGAAAAGAGGGGUGAAAAACCAAAUUCUUCAUAAAAAGGAAAUCUUCUGACUCUCUUCCCCUAUAAAUGGGCACCAUUUGUGUUAAACAGCCUCUUGUCAUGAUAGAUGCCUCCUGGGGUCAGGGGGGAAAGUUGAGCUGAAGGUCAGCAGUAAAACAACAGACAAACCAGACGCCAAACUGGUUCCUGAGCUGUCGGUGGGAGCAGCGGUACAACCAGGUCCUGAACCUUUUUCAACCUCUAAUAAAACAGGGGAAGAAUCUGAAGUGGAUCAACCAGGCCCCAGAGGAAGCCGCACGGAAAAACACAAAUAAUAUCAAUAUCGCGCAGCCAUGGGAAACAAUGGGGCAGCUCUCGGCGUGACAUGCACGCCGCUAUUGUUUCAAGAGCCGGGGAAUUAAUUCCACUUAUUUAUUUAAGGCGUGUCAGCUCGCUGCCUAAACCUGUUUCGGUGUCAAGAUGAAUAAAACUUUUAUGGCUCAUAAAAUAGAGCCAUUCAUCUCAAUGUUCUUUGUGGUGCCUGGGGUUUUUUUCCCCUCUCCUCCUGGCAGGCUGUGCCCAGCGGCCUGGCGCUACCAGCUCGCUCGUACGAGCGAAGCGCUGGGCUGGCACCUGGAGCUGGGCAGGGACCACAGAGAUGAUGACAGCACCCCCCCCUUUUUCCGGGGGUUCUUCCUCUGUAAGAGCAAGGAUGCCAGUGCGUGAUGCCCAUGGUCUAAGCUCAGGCACGUGGUAUAGCUAAAAGGAAUGGUAAUAGAAGUGUCCUACCAGACAAUAGCAACAGCAUCGGGGUUAAAUUCCUCUCACAUCUUCUGUUUUCCAACGGGCUUCGGAAUGAGCAGCAAUAUGUGUACGUUGGAUGGGGCAUCACAGGCAGUGAAGCCCAGGCAAAACUUCUGUGUUUGAUCGCAGAUGGUGAAUGUGGAUUCAUCAUCACCCUGUGCAGGAGCCCCCUACUCUAUCCCCGUUCUAAAACCCACAAUGAAUUUAUGUCACCUAUGGAGCUCUGGACCAACAGGUUGUUGCCACUUUUGCUGCUUUUCACAUCAGAGAAGUCAAGUAAUUCUCAGGGCCCGUUGAAAUAUGUCUCAUCUGAACCGAAUUUCUGCUUGCAAACCACCCGAUAGACACGGACGUAAGAAAUAUUUAUUACCGUCAAGCAAGGCUUUCAAACUUUUACUUAAUCUGAGGCAAUUAGUACCUGAAUAAACACGGACUAAGUAAUCUACCUUCUCGCAACCUAAUUGCACUUUAAAAGAGUUAUUCGGCUCUGCCCAAGGAAAGCACAGCUCUGAUUAAGAUGCUUUGGAGAUUCGCUUUCAUCCCUAUGCCGUUUGGCCCCAGAAAGCCUUCUAUUAAACCCCUCUAACUUCUAAUGGAAAACCUUUUGCAAAACCCCUCCAACUUUGCAUUUCUCCCGUGCCAGACCCCGGCCGGACCCGGCCCUCUCCCCGCCAAAUCUUUAACCCCGCUUCUCAUUUUUCUUGGGCUCUAAUCUAAUCACUAAUUCCUUCGCUUGGCCAAAUAGUUAAAAAUGUUAAGUGCUGGCAGUUCCUCCUGCCUCCCCCCCGUAUCUGUCUCUGUUUAUGGAACGGGCCCUGGUUUCCUCCUUCUCUUGUUCAGCUGUAGGUCUUCAGGUCAGGAGACUGUAAAUACACACAGCGCUGCCCCAACCCAUAAAUCUGAGCAAAGGGCAGCCCUAUAUAUUCAGAUAAGCAAUGCAGAGAGGGGGAGAGAAACAA